ensembl:lncRNA
AGGUGCCGACAGCCCAGCAAUAAGUCAUUCCCCAUAUCAUCGCUGGCCCUCUGUUUAUUCAGCGACAGGGUCAGGGGUGUCGACCCACUACUCUGCACUGUCAUCACAUGACCUCCGGGUGACAUCGCUAUAGGAGACAGUGUGCGGACUCAGCAUAUCUCUACUCAUCUGCUGUCAAUCACUGCACCAAAGAGGAGGGCGGAUAGCCAGAGGUGAGUGAUGAAGAUGGAGAUGAUUACCAACUUGAGAGAUACAAGGAGGAGGAGAAAGGCUGAAUGCAUCAAAGAACACAUCCAAGAGUUGGAUCAGUGGGGUCCUGACCCGUGUGUCGUCAUUGGGAUAUUAUGGUCGCACGUUCCCCUGUCUCUGAUGGAGCUCACUGGGAGGUUAAUGAAAGCACGAGUCAAGGAGAUGCCACUACACGCCAAGGCCUGAGGAGCGGGGGGAAGAUGAGACCUCCUAGCCCUCUGCUGAUCCUCUUCUACAUCACGCUGAGCAAGAGUGCCAAGGUGGUCAAGGUGGUCUCCAAGAGGGGCUCAGUUGGGAAAGUGCCUGUGCUAGUGCGAUCGUUGGUAUUUGAUGUGCAGGGAGGUGCGUCUCGCGAGGAUCAAGAUUGCUACAUGCCUUUGUGGUUGACCUAAAUGUGUUAUUGACAGUGAGCCCGGCUUGACAACUUGAUUGGCCUACUACGCUCUUGGAUUAACUUGCCUGGCUGGCAGGCUUUUUACAAUCAAAGAUCAGGCCAAUGCACUGGUUGGCCGAGUAGCAGUGGGAUUGACUUAGCAGCCUGAUGUGCUAAUGCAGAGUUGUCCCAAGGUUGAGGACGAUUGCAAGGACGCACUCAGAAAUAUGCAUUCAAACAGAAGGUGACAGACUCUGCGCUGGGGCAAAAGAACAUUUAAAUUGUUCUGAUCGCAUUUUGAAAUCUCCUCUCUUGUCCUUUCCGAUCUUUUCAUCAGCUGCACAAAACAUGACCCUCUGACUCCCUUCAACCUACUUCAUGUUUUCCCACCAUCGCCUCCUUGGAUUUUUUUUUUUACUUUUAAUGAAAAUGCUCAGGGGAAGCCCUUCUGUACUGCACGUUACAUAACCACUGGCCGCUCUCCUGAUAAGUGCAUGUGCAAGCACUCCAAGAGGAUGUGGGAAUAUUGAUAUCACUGCUUACAAACUUGUAGGUGCUUAAUUUUUGAUAGAGUCACAGAAAUGUUGAGCGUAUUUGCUCCCAUUGGCCCUAUCUUGCAGAGUCCAGAAUCC